GAUGAACGCUGACGGCGUGCCUAAUACAUGCAAGUCGAGCGAACGGACGAGAAGCUUGCUUCUCUGAUGUUAGCGGCGGACGGGUGAGUAACACGUGGAUAACCUACCUAUAAGACUGGGAUAACUUCGGGAAACCGGAGCUAAUACCGGAUAAUAUUUUGAACCGCAUGGUUCAAAAGUGAAAGACGGUCUUGCUGUCACUUAUAGAUGGAUCCGCGCUGCAUUAGCUAGUUGGUAAGGUAACGGCUUACCAAGGCAACGAUGCAUAGCCGACCUGAGAGGGUGAUCGGCCACACUGGAACUGAGACACGGUCCAGACUCCUACGGGAGGCAGCAGUAGGGAAUCUUCCGCAAUGGGCGAAAGCCUGACGGAGCAACGCCGCGUGAGUGAUGAAGGUCUUCGGAUCGUAAAACUCUGUUAUUAGGGAAGAACAUAUGUGUAAGUAACUGUGCACAUCUUGACGGUACCUAAUCAGAAAGCCACGGCUAACUACGUG
rnacentral:rRNA from 1 species